CCGACCGUCCGGACUUCUCCGAUAAUGAACUUCUACAUUCAUCUAUCGGGCCGUCCCAAAAGCUCUCUGGGCCUCACUGCCAGUCGACCUUCUACAGUAAUCAACUAUUCUCCGAAUCCCUACUCCAAACUUCUUCCGGACUUCGUCAGCAUCUGAGCUUCUCCGACAAUAAGAUUUCUACAGUAACCAGACUCCAUCCAAGUUUCUAC
rnacentral:lncRNA from 1 species